UGCAGCAACGCCGCGUGAGUGAUGAAGGCCUUCGGGUCGUAAAACUCUGUCCUCAAGGAAGAUAAUGACGGUACUUAGGGAGGAAGCCCCGGCUAACUACGUGCCAGCAGCCGCGGUAAUACGUAGGGGGCUAGCGUUAUCCGGAUUUACUGGGCGUAAAGGGUGCGUAGGCGGUCUUUCAAGUCAGGAGUGAAAGGCUACGGCUCAACCGUAGUAAGCUCUUGAAACUGGGAGACUUGAGUGCAGGAGAGGAGAGUGGAAUUCCUAGUGUAGCGGUGAAAUGCGUAGAUAUUAGGAGGAACACCAGUUGCGAAGGCGGCUCUCUGGACUGUAACUGACGCUGAGGCACGAAAGCGUGGGGAGCAAACAGGAUUAGAUACCCUGGUAGUCCACGCUGUAAACGAUGAGUACUAGGUGUCGGGGGUUACCCCCUUCG
rnacentral:rRNA from 1 species